AAGGCCUUCGGGUUGUAAAGCACUUUGUCCGGGAAGAAAUGCCCUGGGAUAAUACCCUGGGGAGCUGACGGUACCGGAAGAAUAAGCACCGGCUAACUACGUGC
rnacentral:rRNA from 1 species